CGAUAACAAAACAACAUAGUCUCUUACCUGUGAGAUAGAGGUCAGCUUCCACUCCCUUCAGGACACUGCUCCCAGAACCAGCACACAGAGCAGCUUUCUUCACUGGAGAAUCUGCAGGAUACAAGCAACAGAAAGAACACAACAUUAGAGAGUGAAGUGGAUACCUGACAGGCAGAGUGGUGAGACAGAAGACCUCUGGGAUGUCUUUGAUUUUGGACAGCACUAUCUCUAGAUGUUCUGUCGUGUCUGCACAGAAUUCUACCCGGUGAGUGCCCUCAGUCGGAUGGCUUGGAGCAGUUGAUGGGUGCAGUGGAACAGAAGUACAGG
rnacentral:lncRNA from 1 species